GUCUCUAUUGUCUGUAGCUAUUGAAGAAUCUGCAAUAAAUCAGAUCUCGACACUUCGCUUAUGGACUUUGUGUUCGUUUAUUACUCUACUUUCACACUCGCGGUAUGUGCGAACGGAUCAGUCAAGGACAAAUUCAUUCA